rnacentral:rRNA from 1 species
UACGUAGGGGGCAAGCGUUAUCCGGAAUGAUUGGGCGUAAAGCGUCUGUAGGUGGCUUUUUAAGUCUGCCGUCAAAUCCCAGGGCUUAACCCUGGACAGGCGGUGGAAACUACCAAGCUGGAGUACGGUAGGGGGCAGAGGGAAUUUCCGGUGGAGCGGUGAAAUGCGUAGAGAUCGGAAAGAACACCAACGGCGAAGGCACUCUGCUGGGCCGACACUGACACUGAGAGACGAAAGCUAGGGGAGCAAAUGGG